UUAUAACUAAUUGCCCACGUGACUAGCAGUCUCUCCUACUGAACACUGCAAAGAAAAGACAUUUCCAUCAUCCCAGGAUGUUUAGUGGGCAGUGUUGUUCAGAGCAUGACCAUGUCACAUCCAUGACCUUGCCACCCCAUCUCUUUGAAUUCAGUGGUGCUCUGCCCUCUGCUCACAAAGGUGGUGUCCCCUCAUCCCUUCUAUCCCCUUAGAAUUCCUGUAGAGUGUCUUGCUCUGCCCAGUAUCACUCCAUUGUGAACCUUCUCUUGGCUUUUCUAGCCAGAGUCUGAGCUCACUUGUUUAAGAUCUCAUCUGGCAUUUUUUACUUUUAGGACACUUGUCAUUUGCUCGUGUAAAGCAAUGUAUUCAUUCACAGUAGAAAGUUGAAUAAUGGCUGCCCAAAGAUGCCACAUCCCAGUUUCCACCUCUUGGCACAUGCAUCUUCCAUGGCAACAGGGACUUUAUAGAUGUGAUUGAAGAUUAUGAGGUGGAAAGAACCGCUUGGAUGACACUGAGGGGCCCAAAGAAGUCAUUGCAAGUGUCCUUAGGAGAGAGAUUCAGGAGGGUCAACAUGAGACAUAUGCGAUGGUAGAGGCUGAGGUUAGCAUGAUGCACCUGGAGAUGGAGAGGAAUAGAAAUCAGGCAUCCCUGAGAAGCAGAAAAGAGAGAAGCAGAUUACCUCCACCGAGUUCCUGGAAGCAGCUCAGCUCUGCUGAUGGGUUUCAAACUUGCAGGGUUAUAGCACAAUGACUUCGCUGUCCCUCCCAAGCUGGAUCAUGCACACAUUCUGAGAGCCUCAUUGGAUGUGUGAAGUACAUGGAAAGCCAAACCCCACAGAACUUUCCUACAUUUGUAUAAAUAUAUAACAUUCAUCUUACAAACUAGGCAUAUUAAAAGAUAGACAGUGGUAACUCAAUGGUCUUAGCAACCUAAUCAUAAGAUUUUUUUCCCUUAUGGCUUCCCCUUGUGAUGUCUGAAUGCCCAGUGUCAUUACUUUUGUACUUUGGGACCAUGAUUAAGUAAAAUAAGAGUUACCAGGCUAAAAGAAUUGUGAUACAGCAGCAGUUGAUCUGAGGGCUGAGCCAGCUACCAAGUGACUAAGGAGAGGGUAGCAUACAUAGAGUGGAUACACAGGACAAAGGAUGAUUGACAGUCUAAAAUUCUACCAUGCUACUCGGGAUAGGAUACAAUGUACAACUUCAGAUUAUUUACUUCUGGAAUUUUCUCCUUUUCCAUUCUGAGGUUGUGGUUGACCAUGUGACUGACCCCAAUGGAAGGCAAAAGUGCCCAUUGGGGUAACCAUUCUAAUGCAUCUACUCUUCCAUCUACCCAUCCAUGUAUCUCUGUACAUGUCUGAUGUCCAUGGUGUACUCUUGUUCUGUGACAGAUCUAUGUUACCAUAGUAAGCUUGAGCCAGCCUUGUUGUUGAGGAAGGAGAAGGCAAGGGUCCUAGAAUCUAAGAAUUACAAAGUAAGUCAGAGGCUGGAGUACAUGGGGCCCUUCCUUCUGGUGUGUGAUGUUGAAGCUCUGACCUGUAGAUGGUACCGAAUGACGAAGGAUUUUGCAUUACUGGUUUUUGACCAGACCUGUGUGUGACCUGGUUUGGAUCUAAAUCAAUGCUGGAGGCUGGCAGACGUAAGGCUGCCACAGUUCUCUGGAUGAGAAACAACAAGAAAGGCAAUCAGGAAAGAGAUGGGGUGAUAUUUAGGUGCUAUUUCAGAGGCAGAGUGGAGAGGGCUUUGUGUUCAGUUAGAUGCUGUGCACGAGAGGGCAGAAUCCAAGAUGACUCGGCUCCAAGAUGACUCCGAGAACAGAUGACUCUAAGCUCAGUGCCUGGCACACAGUGGAUAAGACGCGAUUGUCUUGAAUUGAAUGGUGUGGCGAGAAGACAAUGGGGUGGAUGAUCACUGGGAGGAAAGGAUGAUGCCAAUGAAUAUGAAUAGUGGAGGGAAAUAAAUAGAAGAAUAAGCAUGUGUGCGCGCAUGUGCGGGUGUGCGGGGGGCUGGAAAGGAUGUGAGCCUUGUGCCCUGUCAGCCGGUGUGAUUUCUGCGGCACCGUUUAUCCUUUACUCUGUGAGCCAGAUUCACGCUCAGAGAGUGAAUUUAGGAAACUCUACCCACCUUGCACAUGCCAGCUCUCUCAAUGGCAUGCUUACCAACUGGAUUGAUCUGGAAGGGCCUGAGAAGGAGGGAGGGAGCAAGUGGUGUGGGCUGACUUUUAGGGCACUCACUGUGCCAUCCUGAACAAAGGCAGCGCCCCCGUUUUCUCCCUGCUCACGGCCCACACGUGGGGCAGUGUAGACAUCUUUAGGCUGGACCCUCUUCAGGGAUAUGUGGUGAUAUAUCAAAAGGACACAAAUGAUCUCUGCCCCCCAGAGUGGCAUCCUGAUGCCACCACACCGAUGGAGGGAUAAACAAAAUGAUCCAGAAGAGGCCAUGAUGUCCCUGGUUCCCACCAACGGUGUUCUGCUGUGGAUCAGCUGUCGUCCCAGUACAACAUGUCAGGGACAAGGGGCCCCGUGAAGCCUGUGUGGAAAGGCAGCCCACGAGCGAAGCACAGCUGGGAAGGAACACACAUCCAGCAUUCUUUCCUGUGCCUGGCAUGCUCAGCAGGAGGCCACAAGAAAGGACCAGCCAGUAUCCAUCUUCACAGUCACCAGUGAGCAUCUGCCACCAGAGCGAGACCGCCGUGGUAACCGGACCAGUCUCCUCAUUUUCCUUUCAUUUGGGUUCUAAAAUUCAAUUUUUCUACUGAACCAGGGCAGAGUAAUAGAUCAGAGCCAUUCUGUCAUUUUCCUAUCACCCUGGAAGCUCCACCCAUCUUGUUCCCAUCAGGCCACUUUACUAAUCUAUAGCACUGCAGUUUUCAAAGAGAGCUUUUCUCUCUCAUUGUGUGUGUGUGUGUGUGUGUGUGUGUGUGUGUGUGUGUGUGUGUGUGUGUGUGUGCUGUGGGAUGUUCUGUAUGGCAAAUGUGUUGCUGAUUAGUCAUUAAAUAAAACACUGAUUGGCCAUUGGCUAGGCAGGAAGUGUAGGCGGGACAAGGAGGAGAAUAAAGCUGGGAAGUGGAAGGCUGAGUCAGAGAGACACUGCCAGCCGCCACGAUGACAAACAGCAUGUGAAGAUGCCGGUAAGCCACGAGCCAUGUGGCAAGGUAUAGAUUUAUGGAAAUGGAUUAAUUUAAGCUGUAAGAACAGUUAGCAAGAAGCCUGCCACGGCCAUACAGUUUGAAACCAAUAUAAGUCUCUGUGUUUACUUGGUCGGGUUUGAGAGGCUGUGGGACUGGCAGGUAAGAGAGAUUUGUUCUGACUGUGGGCCAGUCAGGAAAACUCUAGCAACAUGUGUGUGUGUGUGUGUGUGUGUGUGUGUGUGUGUGUGUGUGUGUGUGUGCAUGUGUGUGUUCAUGUAUAUAUUCAUAUUUACGUAUGUGUGUACACAUGUGUGUGCACAUGCAGGUGAAGGCCAGAGAUUGAUGCUGGAAACCAUCCUUCUGUUUUGAAGUGUGUGCUGAGGAUCCAAAGAUGGGCCUUCAUGUUUGCACAUCAGCUAGGUUAUCUCCCCAACAUCUUUCUUUUGUUUUUUGAGAUAGAGUUUCUCAAUAUAGCCUAGGCAAGGCUGGCCUGGAAGGUGCAAUCCUCCUGUCUAGCCUCCAGAGUGUCAGCUCUUUUGACACUACUUCUAUACUGCUCUACAUCAGAUGAGGCAAUUUAGUUACACUUUCGUGUAAGCAUUCCCUGUGGGUACCACUGAGCCCCUGUGGGCAGAGGUAGGCUCCCCAGCUUCUAAAUUCCCAUCGGUAAACUUCCCUUUUCUUGAAUGAUGAACGCUUUCAGCCAUAAGCAAUGGUGUAUCUUGCACAUGAUCUCAGGUGGGGCACUCUUCUUGCACUCCAGUUAAGUUUUUUUUUUUUUUUUCACUCUCUAACCUUUAGUCCUAGCUGGUUAAAUGCUCCCACUUUCUAGCUUCUGCUGUGGGUCUAUCUCACAGAACCUGGAGUGGUCUUCAGAGAUGGUUGCCUGCCGUGAGACCCUGAGCCUGGCUUCACACAGUCCCUUUGGCCUCCUGUGCUACACUGUCACUUGUCAGCUUCAUGUUUCCAUCACCGUCCUCUACCAUGAGGUGAUGUCAACCAAUCUGGGGGUGGGGACAGGAAACACACACACAACCUCCCUAACAUUUCAGUCAAUCAUUCUGAUUGCUUGUGUUCUCAUUCAGACUCUGGGGGUUGGACAGAUGUGGUACGGCCCCCUGGCGGACCCUGACAUUCGGAACAAAAGCUGGGCAGGACAGAAUCCACUUCCAGCCCCUUUGGACUCACUCACUCACCAAGGCUUCUUCAGCUAUUGAGCGGGAGUCUGUACACCAGCCCUUCCUGCCUUCUGUGAUUAAGGAAAAGUUAGAGGACUAUGAUGGAAAUAUGGAAAAGGGUCCAGGCUUCCCAGGGAAGAAAUGGAGCUGUAUAAAUCUAAGGCAGUUACGGCCUCCUGGGGGAGGGCUUCCAGGGGUUCCUUUGUGUUGGCCGUGCUUGCGUGCGCCAGUUGCCCAGUCAUUUUCCCUCCUGCACGGUUAGGCUUCAGGUCGUUAGGCUGAAAGAAACAUGUACUUCCCUGGAGGAAAUUUAGUCACUCCCCUCCCUCUCCCACUCACAACCAGACUCCAGGAAUCUCUGAGCAUCUCUUGGAAGGGACUUAGAAGUCAUUUAGCCCAACUGCCAGGAUAUUCCCUUGGUGAGCAGACAAGUGGGGUAUAAGAUAACAGCGUGGUUAAUUCUCCAUUAUUUGGACAUGGAAUCUUCAGAGACAGAGAGUAAGAGACGUGCUCUUGCGGAUGCUGGCGCUGGAGCGCUUUUCUUAUCUUUUCCCUCUCCAAGCAAAACAACCCUAUAUCGCUCCACUGUUCCUCAGAGAACGGAUUUUAAACUUUUGAAAUCACAUAAAUCGAAGCCACCUUCAUCUAACUAAUGUGGAUGCCGGCUUCAUUUUCCUUCCAAAAACUUUUGGCGAUUCCCCAUUCAGGGGGGAUCGACAGCAUUUGAAAUCAGAUGACAGAAUUACUCUAGCUGAUACUACCCUUCAGCUACAUCGCAGGACCAAGAGGCUCCGCUAACUGCUACCCGCCAUAACGACUAGCAAUCACGGUGCCAUCACUGAAAUGAAUUAAAUUAUUAAUUUCAAUCGCACCCCACGGUGCGUUUAUAAAUCCCACCAUCUGGGGAACAUAAAUAUGGAGGUCCACAUUCUAAACUUGGAGGCAUGGUGCUGAGUGCCAAGGGCUGUAUCUUUGAAGGCAGUAAAGAUUUUUCAAGACACUAUAUGUGGAGCAGCAAGCUGUGCGAUUCUGAGAGGGCUGUCCCUGCGCCUCGGCUAGCUGCGCCGUUUACUUGAGGUUCUGAUGGGAGCCUUCCUCUUUUUUAACUGUUCUUACCAAUAGACCCAAUGAAUUAAAAAAUCUUCAUUUAAGAAGGAUAUAAAAUGGGGAAUAAAAUAAAGCAGUGACUCGGCUGUUUUGCCGCCCCCUCCUCUCCCUGUUGGAUCCCUUCAGCUCCUCCCAGCAUCUCUGUUCUUACGCAGUAGCUUCACAUAUGUAGCUAUCUGUGUUAGCAUGUGACCCCGAGCCAGCUAUUCUUGGAUAUUGAAUGUUUUCCAGAUCUGUCUAAAAUGUCAAGAUAAUUGUUCCUAAAGAAAAGGGAAUGGAAGAUCUAGGAUGAGUAUUUAACAGACCCCUGUAAGAGAUUUAAUUCUCCUUCCUUAUGUGGAACCAUUUGACCAGAUGUUGGGGUUCAGGGACCUUCCCUGUUUGCCAUCUGUGACAUCCCCAAGGGCUGGUGAGAGAGGGACACUUCUAAAGAGCGCAUGUAAAUGACUUUCAUGGAGCCCGGCAGGGGCACUGCAUCCUGUCUUCCCCUAAUGUGGGUUGCCAACUCAAAGCUAAGUCACAGCCCAGCCUUCAGAGGGUCUCCAUGCCAGAGUCCUCACACCCACAACAGCCUGAUUUCCAUGGCACAGGGUUUCUUCCCUGUGACAGCAAGGAGAAAUGCGGAGUUUUCUGCAGAGCGAAUAUUUUGAAUGUUGUGAUUCAAACAGGAUCUUGUCCUGUUUUCUGGGUGGCCAGGGCUUUGUUGAAACUUUCUGUCUUGACUCCUUGAUGGUAGGGACCAGUGUUCUGUAGUCCAGUGACUCUUCAGGGUACAUACACAUAAAACUGGACAGAGUGUAGCUGGCAGUGUCAAUGUGCUCCUCAAACUGCUGCAUCCCCCACCCCUCCCCUGUAUGUGCCACUGACCAUGGCUGUACAGCGGUCAAUGGAAGGUAGUCCUAUAUGUGAAGAGAAAAGAAAGUGUUUGGGGAUGGGAUGUUUCCAGAGUCUGCCUUGAAGGUGGAGUCCCUGUAAUUUCCGACAGAGGUAAGCAUCAGUGUAAAGAGUACUCGUUUGUGCCCAAUUAGAGUUUCAUUUCUUCAGUGAGUGUUGAAGAUGCCUGUCUUAUGUUACUUAGCCAGAUUAGCCUGCUCUGAGCCCUGUUAGGACAAGCAAAUAAAUUGAAGCGGCAAUCACCAUGGAUUUAAAUGAAACUUCUGAUCUUCAUGGCAAAGUCCUUGCCCGCAGCCUAGCCUCCCUUUUUCUCUCUGGGUUAUAAAAUCAAUGCACAUGGAAUUUGAGGGAGCUGAUCCUUUGGAGACUUCCAUGUCCUGAGCUUAUUAAUGACAAUGAAGGACCCAAAGUCAGUGAUUUAUGCACUGUAGACACGGUUCUCCCCAACCUCUGCUGGAGUUAGUAGACUGGAAUAAUUACAGACUAAAUAACGAUGAUAAGAAGGAAAUGUGCUGUAGUUGGAGUUAGUGGGCUGAGAAAACAAAUGUUCCCAGUCUCAGGAGAAUCUGUUUGCUGCGACAGAGGAAGGAAAGACAGAAGUGAAGAGACCUUGGCCUGAUCUGCAUGAGUUCAGUAACUGGGAGACAUUGUGCACUGCUUUCACAACCAACACAAUACGACAAUCAAGAAGAGGCCUUCAGCAGCCUGCUUGGUGUCAAUCCCCACCCUGCUGUGGGAAAACACCCAGUGGGCACGGCUGUUGAGGUGAAAAUCUAGAGUGUUCACUGCUCUGCACCUGGCGUGGCUGCUGCUUCUGAGCUGAGCCUGGAAGACCCAAUGUGAGAAUGCACUUGAGCUUGAGUUUGCUUUCUACAGAGGAACACUCCCUCAAAAGAACUGAGAAACGCCCUGCCAAAAGCAAACUGUGGUUGCUUGGUGUGAGUGUCGCAUGACUACCCUGGUAAUUUCAGGAUGUGAUAGCUGGUGUUAAUUGUCAACUGCAUCCUAGAAUCAUCUGCAAAGUGAGUCUUAGCGAAGAAUUAUUUAGAUUAUGUUGGCUGGAAGGCAUGUCUAUGCGAGAGUGUCUUGAUCAGUGGGCAGACUGCCCACUGUGGGUGUCACCAUCCCCUAGGCAGGGGAAUAUGGAUUGUAUAAGAAUGGAGAAAGCCAGCUAAGCACUUAGAAACGUGCAUAUGUUCAUUGCUUUCUGCUCUUGACUGUAGAUGGAAUGAGAUUAGCUGCUUCAAGUUCCUUGAUUUCCCUACAAUGAUGGACUAUAGCUGGAACUACAUAUGACUUUUGACAGGGUAUAUUAUAACAUCUGGAAAUGAAACAGGGGUUCUUUUAUCUUGGAGUGUCCCAAGGACUCACCCUACGUAACUAGUACUUAUACAUUUCCAAGCUGAAUCCCUCAGCAUCCAGUUCAAGUAUCCUGGCCUAAUGAUGGAGGGCCAGUGUUCACAGAGAACCUGGUGAACAUGGCUUCCUGCUGCAGAGAAUGACUGCCCUCCAUGUUCCCUUGAAUCUCUACCAGGAUAGACAGCACUGGCUGACACUGCCCUGUGGUGAAUACAGGGAACAGAGAAGACAACACUCAUUUCAUAUGGUGCCUUUGAGCAGGCUGGGGAGAGAGACACAGAAGCACACUGGCGACAUCUUCAAGGACAAGCAGCACAGAAGAGAUGUUUUCUUGCGUCUUGGACAGUAUGUAAACAGCCUUCACCCUGGGAAGAGUGAAUGCCUGCCUGAGCUUAGAACUCCAGCUCUGCAUCCACUUAGCACUUCCUGUUCAAGGGUAAAUGCUUAUCCUAGCAACUCCUUUUCAGGGAACAUUUUUUUUUUUAUAAUAAGAUGUGAUGGCCAAUUUAAUUGACCCCUGAGGCCACAGGAUAGAGAAACAGCAAAGCUCUGUAGAGAAUUAUUUAAGGAAAAGGACACAGAAAUCUAGAGCAUUCAUGAUUCAAUCCCAUAUAAUAGGAUAUGUGUAAUUUAACAGACAUUGAAAUAAGAUCUUUUGAAGGGGUGUGUGUGUGUGUGUGUGUGUGUGUGUGUGUGUGUGUGUGUGUGUGUAGGGGUAUUUGCAUGUGAGUGUAGGUGCUCAAAGAAGCCAGAAGAAGGUGUUGGAUCUCCUGGAGCUGGAGUCACAGGUAGUUAUGAACUGCGUGUUUUGGAGGUUAAGAACAGGUCUUAGGUCCUCUAAAGAAACAUUAGAUGUUCUGCGUCUCUCUCCCCAGCCUGAUCAAAGGUACCAUAUGAAAUGAGUGUUGUCUUCUCUGUUCCCUGUAUUCACCACAGGGCAGUGUCGGCCAGUGCUGUCUAUCCUGGUAGAGAGUCAAGGGAACAUGGAGGGUAGUCAUUCUCUGCAGCAGGAAGCCAUGCUCACCAUGGCUUUGAUCACGGAGCCAUCUCUUCACCCCCCAAAUACGAUCUUUAAAGGAGUCACCUGAUUUCCUACAACCUUCAUUUUCCUACUUGGUUGUAUACCCAGGAAAGAGAAUAGGGCUAAGGGGAGGGCACCUCUGUCUGACCAAGGACAAUUUCCACAGAGAACAGCUGGCUGAGCUUUGUCAGCUGGCAGUAUGCCAGACAGCUGGGGAAGGGAAUGCGUUCUUGAAGUGGGCUCUGGUGGUGUGUCCCAGGACUCACUAUACCUGGCACAGCCUCUGUAACACACACACACACACACACACACACACACACACACACACACACACACACAGCUCGGAGCUGUUUAAUUCAAUCAUCUGUCAGUUCGACAGUGUUUGAGUAUCAUCCCUUCACUUAGUGUGGGUCAUCUCUAAGCCUCCCAGAGCCCUCCAGCAGGGGGUUAUCUCUUUCUCCCAGUCCUCACUAGGGCACCAGAUCCUUCAUCAUUGAACAGUGUGUAAUGAUACCCCAGCUCUCCUGUUUCCCUGGAAUCAAAUUCUAUACAAAUUCCAGUGGUUCCUGCUAGUACCAUGGACUAUAUCCUGAAGCUCCUUUACUCUAUCCUGGUCACCAGUCCCUCUGCGGACACAGCUGGGCUAGAUUGGUACCUGACUAGAUUUUGGUCUGGUAGCCAUGUAGAGAAAGGGGAGGAUCCCAUGCCACCCAAGUCAGGGUCUGUGCUGUUACCAAGCAAAUGCAACUUGUGACCACCUCAAGGCUCAGCACCCAAGUCCUUCUAAACCAGACCUCUGCUUCUGGCACAGACGACUUGCUAGGAUGGACCAAUCUUCUCUGAAAUCUUCAAUCUUUAGAUUCAACAACAGAGCCUUAUCCUAAGAUUUUUCUGGUCUUUGGAUGCAAGGCAUGAAACUUUUUUAAAAAAAAUUUCCAGGCAGGUCACUGGGCACUCUACCUAACGGGUGGUUAGCUACCUCAGGCUCCCAAUAACUCUUUAGUGCACCCGAAGCACUGAGGAGCAACCACCCAGCUCCAUCAUUCUUACAGUUUCUACGCUCCCCAGGGCUCUCAGACACUGGAGAUUUUCUAUCUCCAAUUCAUCUCAUGUGGCUGGCACCACACCCCUACUCUCCACCAGCGAACAUCUUAUCAGUUGGACCACUAGAGCACCCUGGAGCUUGUCUGAUGGCAUUUAUCACCUUCCCAGGUUCCUUGUUGCCAGUGGACCAGCAGAUGCCCAACUUCCAACCUCUCUUGGAAUGUCAUUCCUUAGACUGCCCCCGGCAUCAAUCUCCUGGAGUCAAGUUCCCAAGAAAAUCCUUUCAGAGAUGGAGAUAGAUUGGAGUGUCUUCUUGGGAUACUGCUUCUAGAGGCAAUGCCUGUGAAGGAGAGAAGGCAAUGUGGAACAGGGGUGAUGCCUUUGCCGAAGAGGUUGCAGGCUAUACAUGAAAUGUCCUGGAAUAGGACAUUAAUAGUUACUCCAAGGAGACAGGGUGCAGGGGUACAGAAUAGUCAUUGGAUACACACUGAACAUGGGGACGAGGGAAAGCGCCAAGGACCUGCCUAGUGAUCUACACUCCUGGUGGCAGGAUGGUGUCACGAGGAAAACUGGGCACCGCCCCCCCAGCAUUCACUCACUGUCCCAGCUCUACAGAGCAGGCUCCUCUCUCUCUAUAGCUCUACUGAGUUUUUGCCUUUACACACCCCAGUGACUAGGUAACCUCCUGUUAAGCCCUGUCUCAAAGCCUCUAACACCUCCUGUAAUGCCAAGCUGAGAGCCAAAAUUUUAACUUGUGUGCCUUUGGGAGAUGUUGCAGAUCCACACUGCAGCGUCCUGGAGGGUUAAUGUCAAACACCAGAGUCUCCUUGGUGAAUGCUUGGAGCAGUCGCUAACUUACUCAAGAUCAAUGGCCCGACUUAGAUGCAGGUCGCAGGUGCUGGUCACAGCUGCUUCCUAUCUGUUUUUAUCAUACUGGCAGCCAUGUAAAUUGUCAUGUGACUUCACAUUUUCUACCCAUAUCAAGUUUGGGGCACUCUACCUGCGAGGUUUGCUACAUUCUAGAUGUCCUACCUGCUCUGACCUGUGUCUUCUCUCACCCAGCUGAGCCUUCUUGCCUAGCAUACUUUAUUUUGAGGAUGCUGCUCAGGGUACCUUUUUUUUUUCAUAUAGACCUUUCUGUAGCUCUAACUAAUCUUGCAUAAAAUCAAUUGUCUGUGUGCCUGUGCAUGCAUAGGCAUGUGUGUGAGUCUGUGUGCAUGUAUUGGAUGCUUUUCUGACUUUCUCCUGAUAUCCACCUCUCUCCUCUGUAGCUCUGUGGCCUCUGGAGACACCUGGACACAAAAGUACCCACUGCUUAGUAAGGCUUUGACAUGGCUUGUAUUCACCUUUUGCACUAAAAAUAACGACUCCUUAAGAAAAAUCCCAGUCCCUGUAUUCAUGCUGAACACCCAGUGAGUUCCCACUGGACACUGACUGAUGAGGAUAGUUGAGAGUGAUAGUUCCCUGGCCAGAAUAAUCUGGAAUAGCAGCAUUACCCUGGUGUAUGCACAGAGGUAAAGAUAUGCUGAAACUCACGCUCAGCACUCUAGUCACCAAUCAGAAAUGCUCUAUGCUUUGAGGAACUUGUCAGUAUUUGUGCAAGAUUGUGAAUUAUUAGUUGCUACUUAGAAGGAGUUUCACUGUAGAAAAUGCCACUCCACUCUUUGCUAGGUGGUCUAAGCGAAGUGUGCCUCAUUGUGAAGACUUCUUUAUUGAGCUCAGAUCCCUGCUUCAUGGCCUCAUGCCAAAAGUCCUUGACUACCUUGUAAGCACACCCCUCUCCAGGCAAAACCAGGACAAACCUCCAGCUUACCACGGGCAGUCUAAAGAGCUGUAGUACCAUUCUCUGGGACUUGGACUUCCUCAGGCCAAGGGCAGGAAAGCAGAGUGGUUGACAAGCCUCACUUCUGAGAUGUGCCCUGGACCUGAGAGUGGUCAUAUCUCACUCCCUGUCUCAUGACCACAGCCAGGAUUCCAAUAUCAGUCUUUUCAAGGGUCUGUACCAGCUUAUGUACCACCUUAUUCCUGGAUGACCCUGGCUCUCUGGUACUGAAUUCAACGGAGAUUUUAGUAAAGAUUCCUGUCUUAUGCCACUGAUUUCUCUCUCUCCCUCCCUCUCUCUCCUUCUCUCUCCUCCCUCUCUGUGUGUUCAAAUAUGUGUGUGCAUGUUUGUGUAUAGCUACACACACAAACAUAUAUGUGUAUGCAUGUGAGGUCAGAAGACAACCUUUAGUGUAGUUCAUCAGGUAUCUUUUACCAUCUUUGUUUGAGUCAAGGUCCUUAACUGGCCUGAAACUUCACCCAGUGGGCUAGUCCAGAUGGCCAGCACUCUGUAGAGUUCCACCUGUCUCCACCUCCCAUCUCACCACUGCUGAGAUUACGACGUGGGUUCUGGGGAUCCAGACCCGGGUCCUCAUGCUUGUGAGUUUCACAGAUGGAAGACCCUUUCUCACACAGAUGUCAACAACUAUAGUUUAUGAUUUUUUUUCUAUUCUUAUCGUCAGAUCCAUCUACCCUUUUACCAAAGAAUGUACUUUGUGGCUUCUCUUCUGUGUAUUCAAGUUCCAGCAUCUCUAUUCUUACACACUGGGGACAACAUUAAGUAAAAUAAAGGUGACAUGAACUCAUGUUUUGUGAUAUUUUGACACUCUCUCUGAUAUCCAAAAUGUCCACCAGAGGACUAAGGAGAAGAUAGCCUACACAGUAUGGAUACUGUGGGCAAAGGAAGUGUUCGCAUCCCACUGGGAGUGAGCCAGGUAGAAAAGGAUUGCAUCACACUAUUCAGCAUGCAACUUAAAACAGGAUUAUUGACUUCCGGAAGUUAACUUUUUCAGACUUUAGUUGGCCUGGUAAAUGGAACUGUGAAAGGGCAGCUACAGCUAAGGGUCUGCACACCUUUCAUCUCAGUCAGCACCCAGGUUCCAGGACUCGGGUACCUAUAUAAACAUCCAAGAUGGCUAAAUUCUUUCUUCCUGGCUAUGCAAGCCAGACAGACUCUGGAAUGGAGCACCCCAAAGUCCCCAUGCCUUGUGUUCUCUAAGAUCUAGAAGUGGUGAUGUGGGGUCAGGGGCCUCUCUACUCUACAGACAGGGCCCAAGGAUGACCCUUUUCAAUGUUAACUCUCAAUAAGAGGCCCAGGUUUUGCCUGUAAGUCUGUUGACAGUGACUCCAGAGGGUUGAAUAUAAACAAUGGGAUGUUUUUGGAAUAGCCUGCUCAUAUUUUCUUUUCUUUUUUUUCUUUCUUUCUUCUUCUUUUUUUUUGUUUGUUUGUUUUGUUUUUCGAGACAGAGUUUCUCUGUGUAGCUUUGGAGCCUGUCCUGGAACUCGCUUUGUAGACCAGGCUGGCCUCGAACUCACAGAGAUCCGCCUGCCUCUGCCUCCCGAGUGCUGGGAUUAAAGGCGUGCACCACCACCACCCAGAAUGUUCAUAUUUUCUUAGCCUAAACCACUCAUACUGGACAUAACUGAUUUCAAGCUGUAGAGCUGAACUAUCGUCUCCAUUCCUGGAAGCAGAGGAGAAUGGGAUGCAGGGGCAUUAGUGAUGCAUAUCAAAUCAGAUCAAGACCGGGCUAUAGAUCCUGUGCAUGGUUUGUGGGAGGAGAGGGGAUGCUCCAUAUUGCCCUAUUCCCAUACUGGGAAGAGCAGAAUAUGGGAGAAGGUGGGGAGUCACUAAGAUCUUAGGUCCCACAGGCACUCCACAGAGAGGAAUGCAUUCUAAAACACAGCCAGUCCACAGCCAGGAACUGUAGAUCACUGGGAGGACCCAAAUCUGGUCUCUGAGAAUGGUCUCUUCAUUCUUUCAAUAACAAACGUUGCCCAAAUGAGAACAAUGUAAAGCUAAACUGUUGCUAUCAGGCUUGGCCACGCACACACACACACACACACACACACACACACACACACACACACACACACACACACUGAGGAUAUCUCUUCAGUGAACUGUCCAAAUUCCACUUUUCCUUGUCAUCACUGUGACACCAUCCUGUGUGUUGGCUUCGCUGAUACUAUGAGCCCUGGCUAGAGAAGAGCCCUGCAGCUGGUCCAGGGAUUGAGGCACCAUCUUUGGUUUUAUUAGCAUCAUGUCCUGCCUGAUCCUGUCACUACAUCUCAGGAUCUUCCAGAAAUAACCCAAGUCUAUAAAAAUACUAUUUAGAUGCAAUUACAUAUUCUUAUAUCCUAAACAACUAUAUAUGGUUAGUAUUGUCAACUUGAUAGAAUCUAGAAUCACCUGGGAGAUGGAUUUCUGGGCAUGCCUGUAGGAGAUUUUGCACAUACACACACACACACACACACACACACACACACACAGUAAAUUUAUUCAUUUAUUUCCAUCCCUUUUGCAGUUUCUCCUCUCUCCUUUCCUCCUAUUCCUCAACCCCACCUCCUCUCUGCCCCCCCACCCCCCCACCCCCAUCCUGCUCCAUCCAUUCCUCCUCUGUUUCUGUUCAGAAAGGGACAGGCCUCCUGCGGGUGUCACCAAAGCAUGGCAUAUCAAGUUGAGGUAGGGCUAAGUUGCCCCCUUGUAUUAAAGCUGCAGGAGAUUAUUUUAAUUGCAUUAAUUGAGAUGGGAAGACCCACCCACUGUGGGUGGCACCAUUCCCUGGAUGGGAUCCUGGACUACACAGGUAAAGAAAGGGACGUGAUCAGCAGCAUGCAUGCACUGUCUGCUUCCUGUUUACAGACGCAGUGUGACAAGCUGCUUCUUGCUGCCAUGAUGUCCCUGCCAUGGCUGGCUGUGUCCAUGAACUGCCAGUCAGAGGAAACCUCUUCUCCCUUGAGUCUCUUUUGCCAGAGGGUCUUACCCCAGUGACAGAGGCUAAGGACCUAAGAUGCACAGACACGGAGGAUACAGAAAUAUAAAGCUGCCUUUCAGGACACAGGAGAUUGUGUCCAAAGUUUAAGAACCACUUUAAGGGAAGUGUUUUCCUUGGAAAACCCACUAUGGAAAUGCCCCAGCCUCAGAUUCUCCAGUCGAAGACAUGCUCUGCUCCCAAACAGAAUCUCUCGGUCAGGACCGGUGAUGUGAACUGGAUCCAAAGAGGGUGCCAGGGAUGGGGUCACAGAUGCCAGAGCCCCAGCACGGCCUUGACCUGACAGCUAUGGCAGAAGGGACCUCUGCACACCCCGAAACCUCCAUCGCCUUGGAGCCUAGGAGCCACACCCGCUACAGUUCAAGUGAGCCACACAAGGAAGGGAAACGUCUUGGAAAACUCCUGUGGAUGUGCAUGUCCAGAUUAUCUCACUGCAGCCACAUGCUCUUAAAAUCCAGCCGUCUGGGCUUUUCUUGACCCCAGACCUGCUCUUCCUGUUCAAGAAAACAAGACCUUACGUCAGCGAUGCCUUCUCCAGGGCCGAGGACUGUUCCAUUAGUCAGCAGUGAAGAGAACAGCAGGUCUCAUUCCCCAACGGUGGCCAGGAGGCUGGAGGUGCAGGAACAAUGGUUACAGCCCGGUACCAGCUUGGUCUCUUACUCAAGUGAGAACAUAGCAGAGGUGAAGUCCUUGUUACCCUGAAGUGAUUUAUUAUUAUUAUUAUUAUUGUUGUUGUUUUCUUUUGUAGUUGCCAAAGUUUCAACAUUUUCUGCACAUUUGUGUAAAGAGUAAAAUAGGUUGCUUCAAAUUUCUUCUGUUUUUUUUUUUUUUUCUAUAAAUGGUAUCCCCUGACAUGAUUAGAGAAAGAAAGUUCUCAGAGGAGGCUGGGAAGAGCCCCAAGUACUCCCAGACACCCACUUGUGGCCUGGGGGCUUUUUAGAUGUUACUUUUAGCCACAGUUCCUGAUUCCUCUGGUCUUCUGUGAUGACCACAUGACUUCUGGAUGACCACAUGACUCCAAGAUGGCAUUAGCCCUACAUGGUGGGAAAGCCAUGAGCUGCCACAUGGGCCAGACGUGGUCUUAUGAAUCCCUAAUUUUGUAUGCGUGUACCUAUGGUACAUGCCUGGGAAAGCUGCUCUACUUCACGAGCCUCAGUUUCCUUACUGUAAAAUGGGAAUAUCAACAUUUACGUUAUAGGACUGCCAGGAGAACUGCGUGGGGAUGUAUAGUCUGGCAGGUGGAGAGUGAUACUCCGCAGAUUUUUAAGCUUUUCUUUUACUGGCUGGAGUUCUCAGUAUUGUAUGCAAUUCUUUUCAUUGUUACAUUUCCGCCGCCUUCCCUCAAGGCCACGUGCAUAGAACAUUCCUUCCUGAAUUGUCAUGGGCAGAUGCUGUGGAAAGUCCUCCCACCUGGCUCAGCUCAUCUGAAUUCACCAGCAGCCACCAUCCUCAACAUCUUCCCAGGAUCAUCCAUCUCAAGGACCUGGGCUUUCUCACUGUUUUGCUUGAGGAUGCUCCAAGGACCUGGAGAGCUCAGGGCUUGUGCUGCCAGGGCACCAUCCACCAGAAGGAAGCCACUCUCCCUUCCUCAGGUGAGAGACUCAGCCCCAAGACUGUCUCAAGGGAUUCUCCAAUCCAUUCGCUUGACCUGAUGAAGUCCACAGCGAGACCCACCCACGAGGCCUCUGUGCUGGCUUUUCUAACUUGCCAUAUUUCUGUGCUUGUGAAUCCUGCAUUCACUUUGAGACUGACACACUAAUAACCACACUUAGGAAGUGCCUGAAUGUUCACUUCUAACAUAGACUUCUAGCCUUUGCGUGCUCAUCUAGUUCAGGAUUUUUUUUUUUUUUUUUUUUGAGAACCCAAACUAAAAUACCCAUCUCUUGGAAUUUUUGCUUCUUUUAUUUCCAAUGUUUGUAUAUAGUAAAAUUAACCUUUUAUUUUAUUAACUAAUUAAUUUUUUGAAGACAAGGUCUCACUAUGUAUCUCUGACUAGCCUGGAACAUCCAAGCUGAGCUCAAACUCAUAGAGAUCCACCUGCUUUGAAUCCUGGGAUUAAAGGCAUGUACCACCACUCCCAGAGUAGUUAAGGCUGGGAAUUGUGGAUAGAGCUCUUAACCUAGAAUGCACGAGGCCCUCUGGUUCAAAACCCAGUAUUGAAAGAAAAAAAAAGUGAGAGGGUCUGUAAGUCCCGAGUCUUGACAAGGAAAGUGCUAAUAUAACGGAGAGCGCAAUGGGACACACAGCAAAGUCUCACACCAGCACAUUCCCUCAGGGUGCGGUAGUCCACACACCUCUCACCCCAGCCCUGCCUCCAGCAACCAGGAGACCUCUUGAAGCCCGGCUUCUUGCAUGCUGUUUAUUGCCUCUGAGUUCAGCAUUCCACCCAGAACUUGGGAGGCAGAGGCAGGCUGAUCUCUGUGAGUUAAGGCCAGCCUGGUCUACAGAGUGAGAUCCAUGAUAGCCAGCACUGUUACACAGAGAAAAAAUACAGCAUUCCAUUCUAUGGACAUAAGACAGCUUAUCAAACUCAGGAGACCGUAGGACUUGCCGCACAGGAUGACCAGGACUCCGGGGCCAACACUAUGCCGUUUUAUCCCACACCAGAACGUUGAGUGCUCAGUAGAUGUUAAGCCUGUGUUUGCAUCACCCUGCUCUCUCCUUUGCAGACCUCCGCUUUAGAUGUCCUUCUGCAUAGACAGCUCUUUCACCCUCGCACCAGCCUACUUGCUCCUGAUUCCUAUCACUCCCUGUCAAGGGACAGCCCCAAUGUCGACCUGAAACUCUUUCUUGUCACCCCAUCACAGCCUUCAGUGCGUUAGUAAGCUGUGAGCUAUGCCAGGGCAGAGAAGGUCUUUACCACACCAAUCUGUCUGAUGGAUGGAUGGGUGCACAUCUGAAGGAAGGAAUGAACGAAUGAAUGAAUGAAUGAAUGCUUUCAUUUCAUCUCUGCCUGUGAGUUCCAAUUGGACGUUUCCUCUGAGCACUGCCACAAUGCAACCUCUUUACUGCGUAUGUGGGUGGGUUCCUGCUACUCACUCCAGGACCCUGCUUGCAGUCAGCCAAGCGCAUGUUGCUUCUUUGACAAGUUGGAUGCCGAGUGGAGAAACUUGAAUGCUUUCAUCUAUUUACUUUUACCACAUGCCAUAGAAAUUAAAAAUACAUUGUACCACAAGUGCUGUAUUUAGUGUCUCCCUUUAAUUACAUUCAAGUGUGUUGCUAAAUAGUCUUGAGGAAACCGUAAUGACCAGCUGUUCUACCCUUUUCCCAUAUGUCAGAGAUGGUUUCUGAAAUCACAUUCUGGGACAGGCAGGUCGUAUAAUUAGACAGUGUAUAGUUAACACUUCUAGAUUUCUCCCUUAAACUGUGGGGCCUUUACACUAACAUAUUGCAUGAUUCUGCCAGUUUGGCACAAUACAAUUAAAUGAUGUGCCAAAGAGCAAGGAGAAUAUACCAGCGCCAUCAGUCGUGGGCUGACAGUGUAAGUGUGUGUGCACUAUGCAAGAUUCAGUGUGCUCAGCUGACAGAUACACUUAGGAAAGAGGACUUUAAAUUUUUAAUAGUCCCUUGUAGUACCAUUUAUCUCGUUAUAAUUAGAUGUGAAAGUAGCUCUUUUUUUGUCCUUUCAAACAAAGAGAUAUCAUCCAAAAUAUACAACAACCAUUUAAGAAAACAGAACUGAAAAUCUCUGGGGUUGGAUGAGAAGACAAUACGGGUUCCUGUGGGGGACAUGGGAAUUGUUUUCUAUUGCCAAACUAGAUUUGGAAGAUAAAAGAAGAUGGGUUGAGAUAAAGGAUUAUUGUGAGAUAAGCUGUGGCUUCCGGCAGUUGUCUUCUUCAGUUUGGGGACUUGUCUUGAACCACAGUAAUAGUUCACUUGAUCAAAUUCAGCUAGUUCUUUGAAUUUUAAAAUGCAGACGUUGAAAUAGAAAUAUAAAAUAAAAGAGUCAAAUCCAAGUAGAUGAUGUUCUUCAUGUUCCUCUUCCAAGGAAAAUGACCUGAUGGUCAUCCUAAGCCAGGAGUCAUAAAUGUAGCUCUGAUUUCAGAGAAGACUUGUCCUCAAGAACACAGCCAAUUCAUGGCCAAGGCUUUCUUCCAUCCGAAAAUAACAAAAUCACUUUUAAAAAGCCUGAGCGAGGGAGGUACACUCUCCCAAAAAGACCGAUUUACAACGCUUUGUCUGUACAUUUGAAUCUCCAGCGACUUACUCAGAUGUAAGCGCCGACAGCUGUAAUCAUUUUAAAUCUUGCUUUGUGUCCUGAGUUAGAAUGGUGUUCAAUUGAUAUUCAGAAUAAUGGCAGCAGUGUGGUGUGCUGCUUUGAAAAGGACCUGAGUACAAUCCAGUGCUUUGGGAAAUUGACUCGCCAGAGGGUUAAUCCACAUUUAGAACUUGCAUUAAUAAAAACUCUACCUUGUGCCACAGGGUGUUCAGAAGACUUCAUUUUUUUGAAUGUUUUAGUUCAGCAACAUGGCUUCCUUUGUCCUGACUUUUAAAGAGAUUUAAAAGUUGGGCUCCUGUGGUCAUUCUGCAAGGCCCCUUACACAGAGCCAGAUGCUCGGCUCACAGGUGCAAGGAUGCCUUUGGUGUGGUGUGUUGACCUAGAUCUCCAUGAACCAACAGAGGAUCACGGACAAUGACUUGAUCUGGGAAACUUCAGCUUGUGUCUCCAACCCACCUCAGAGUGCUGUCUACUUUCCUCCAUCUUUUCCAGAGUUUGGUUAGCCAAACCCAGCCGGAAGAGAGAGCCGAAAGCAGUUGGAGGGGGAAGAUCCAUGAAGCGGCUGCUCUGCCACAGACGGUGGUUAGCAGCAUUGGUGACUAGAGGGUCCUUUAAAAUACACAGAAACCUCCGAGUCCCUCACAUACAACAGAGAGUCUUGUCCUCAAUUUAAAAUAAAUCAUUCAGAUGGAAAAUAAUUCAUGUCUUCAAAGAGUGGACUGAAGUAGAGAGAAUGAUAAUGAAGACAGGAGGGAAAAAACCAUCUCUAUUCCCUGUGAGUAGAGUGGUGUGCUCCUGUAUGACCAGGAGUCAAGGUGGCAGGCAAUGGAUUCCGUCAUCGUUCUCUUUAGAUAGGCCUGUGUGUGCUUGGCCAUGACUGGCUGCUUCUCCUCUGCUGAGGGGGACUUGGGCCUGGACUACCCCUCAUGCUAGGGAGAGGACUCAGCCACACAAGCAGGAGGAUCCCCAGCACCUGGGCAAAUGUUGCGUGGAUAUGGAGGCCCACCUCUAAUCCCAGCACUCUGGAAGCAGAGACAGGAGACCUAGGAACAAGAUGGUUGGUUAAUCUAGUCGAAUCAGAGGUCACUGGGCUCAAAUGAGAGACCCUGCCUCCAUAUAUAAGCCAGAGCAUUAUCAGAGAAGAUGACCCACAUAGACCUGUGUCUUCUACAUGCACACAAAUGUACAUCCCCCAAACACACAUAUACACAUGCAUGCACACCACAAACAUACAUGCAAAAGAAUACCAUCCCUUACUAUGUGCUCUUUCUAGCAGACGCUCUGUGUUUUAUCUUCACAUAGAACUCCUAUUCACCCUUCAAUGCCCAGCUCAAACGACACCCUGGCUACGAUUCUUGCUGAACUUCCAUGAUGCCUCCUCUUUUUGUCUACUUCUCUCUUACCUCUGAGCUUCCUCAAUGUCUGGCACUUAUCCCAGGGGCUCUGGUUACUUUCUUUCUUCUCCCACACAAUUCUGUUAUUUAGGAUUCAAAGUCUGUUGCCGUACAUUUUUGUUAAGGGGCACUUGUCCUUCUGUAAGGAUUAAGCAC